AGACAACCAAUGCUGAACAUCAAACCAUUAUUCUACUGAAAUAAGAGACAAAGAUAAAGCUUAUCUUCAAAAAAAAAAAAGACAGACUCAUCAACUUUGAUCAGAUGUAGACAGAAGGACAUUUGGAGAUGCUAAGCUAA